GAGGUCGGCAGCGACGAAAGGCUGGCCACCUACACAACGCUUCCGGCGGGAAGCUACACGUUUCACGUGCAGUCGGCCUCCAGUAGAGGUCCAUGGUCGCGAGAGGUGACUCUGGACAUACAGGUAGCUCCCCCUUUGUGGGAAACGUGGUGGUUUCUUUCGAUGAUCGCGCUGGCAGUCAGUGGUAGUGUCUGGCUGCUGCACCAGUCGCGACUGCGACGGAUGGCAGAGGCGUUCCAGGUGAGACUCGAGGAGCGCGUUGGAGAACGCACGCGCAUCGCGCAGGAAUUGCAUGACACUCUCUUGCAGAAUAUAACCGGACUCUCUCUUCAAAUCAGUGGUCUUGCGAAGCGCGUCGCCGAGCCUGAGCCUCUGAAAAACAGCCUUGUCCAGCU
rnacentral:misc_RNA from 1 species